CCUGCCUCAGCCUCCUGAGUAGCUGGGACUACAGGUGCGUGUCACCAUGCCUGGCUAAUUUUUUGUAUUUUUAGUAGAGACGGGGUUUCACCAUGUUAGCCAGGAUGGUCUCGAUCGCCUGACCUCAUGAUCCACCUGCCUCAGCCUCCCAAAGUGCUGGGAUUACGGGUGUGAGCCACUGCGCCUGGCCAAGAUUUCGAUUUUAUUGCUCUGUGGGACAUUAGUCAGUUCUCUGUUCUCUAUAUAACUCUGCAAUUUUAUCUAGCAUUCUUUUCUUCUACUGGUGACAUGUACACACACACACACACACACACACACACACACACACAUACAUACACACACGCACUUAUCAGCAAUCUUCUAUCCUCCUCUUUAAACCAGCUGGUUUUGUCACAAAUGAAGUAGACGCGUGUGACAUUUGGUGCCGAAACCCAGGACAGGAGGACUCCUUCGGGAGACCGGUCCCCUGUCCUCACCCUCACUCCAUGAGGAGAUCCACCUGUGAACUGGGGUCGUCAGACCAAACAACCCAAGGAACAUCUCACCAAUUUCAAAUCAGGUAAGUGGUCUUUUCACUCUCUUCUCCAGCCUCUCUCGCUACCCUUCAAUCUCCCUGUCCUUCCAAUUCCAGUUCUUUUUCCUCUCUAGUAGAGACAAAGGAGACACAUUUUAUCCGUGGACCCAAAACUCCGGCGCUGGUCAUGGACUCGGGAAGACAGUCUUCCCUUGGUGUUUAAUCCCUGCGGGGACGCCUGCCUGAUUAUUCACCCACAUUUCACUGGUGUCUGAUCACCACGGGGACACCUCCUUGGUCAUUCACCCACAUUCCCUUGGUGGCAAGUCAAUUGCGGGGUUGCCUGCUUUGGCUGCUCACCCACACUGCAGCCCAGGGCUGCUCACCACCCCCUUCUCCGUGUCUCUACCCUCUCUUUUCUCUGGGCUUGCCUCCUUCACUAUGGGCAACCUUCCACCCUCCAUUCCCCCUUCUUCUCCCUUAGCCUGUGUUCUCAGAAACUUAAAACCUCUUCAACUCUCACCUGACCUAAAACCUAAGCAUCUUAUUUUCUUCUGCAACACCGCUUGGGCCCCAAUACAAACUCGAUAAUGGUUCUAAAUUGCCAGAAAAUAGCACUUUUGAUUUCUCCAUUUUACAAGACCUGGAUGAAUUUUGUCAAAAAAUGGGCGAAUGGGUCUGAGGUGCUCGACGUCCAGGCAUUCUUUUACACAUUGGUCCCUCCCUAGUCUCUGCUCCUAAUGCGACUCACCCGAUAUCCUUCUUCUUUCUCUCCUGUCUGUUCCUUAAGUCUGCAUCCCAAGCUCUGAGUCCUUUGAAUCCUCCUUUUCUACAGACCCAUCUGACCUCUCCCCUCCUCCCCAGGCUGUUCCUCGCCAGGCCGAGCCAGGUCCCAAUUCUUCCUCAGCCUCCACUCCCAUACCCUAUAAUCCUUCUGUCCCCUCCCCUGCUCACACCUGGUCCAGCUUACAGUUUCAUUCCGAAACUAGCCCUCCCCCACCUGCCCAAUAAUUUCCUCUUAAAGAGAUGGCUGGAGCUGUAGGCAUAGUCAAGGUUAAUGCUCCUUUUUCUUUAUCUGACCUCUCCCAAAUCAGUUAGCGUUUAGGCUCUUUUUCAUCAAAUAUAAAAACCCAGCC
rnacentral:lncRNA from 10 species